GUGCCCUUAGAAGAGAGACCCUGAGAGAUCCCUUGGCCCUCUGCCAUGUAAGCAUGGCCAUCUAUGAACCAGGAAGCAGGCCCUCACCAGACACUGAUUCUCCCACAUGUCGUGAUCUUGGACUUCCCAGAAGGGAUGGAAGACCUCUCUAGCCAAUGGGAAGAUGGCAAGAUGUGUGAAUGUACCCCUGGGAGCAAAAUCACAGAGCCUGUGUAAUCCUCUAUACAUGUAGGGACUGAGUGUGGGUAUCUCUGGCCAGUGUGGAUGUUGACCACGUUGUUUCGUAACCCUGCCUCACUUGCUCCUCUCUCCCCAACCUCCAGAACUGCCUAUCUAACUCAUCUGUGGUGAUGGAAUGCUAUUUCUUUCACAUUACCCUGAUUAAGUAUCAUUAGAAAGGUAACUGCUGUGCUUAAAACAAAUAAAUCACCUAACACAUUCCAGAG
rnacentral:lncRNA from 1 species